rnacentral:rRNA from 1 species
UGGGGAAUUUUGGACAAUGGGCGCAAGCCUGAUCCAGCCAUGCCGCGUGAGUGAAGAAGGCCUUCGGGUUGUAAAGCUCUUUCAGCCGGAAAGAAAACGCACGGGUUAAUACCCUGUGUGGAUGACGGUACCGGAAGAAGAAGCACCGGCUAACUACGUGCCAGCAGCCGCGGUAAUACGUAGGGUGCGAGCGUUAAUCGGAAUUACUGGGCGUAAAGCGUGCGCAGGCGGUUUUGUAAGACAGAUGUGAAAUCCCCGGGCUUAACCUGGGAACUGCAUUUGUGACUGCAAGGCUAGAGUACGGCAGAGGGGGGUAGAAUUCCACGUGUAGCAGUGAAAUGCGUAGAUAUGUGGAGGAAUACCGAUGGCGAAGGCAGCCCCCUGGGUCGAUACUGACGCUCAUGCACGAAAGCGUGGGGAGCAAACA